GAGAAAGUUGUGCGUUUAACAAAAUCAAUAAAUGAAAGGUUUAAAAUUUAUAAAAACAAUUUUUGGUGACAAAAAAGAAAUUAUUUGUGUUACAUUUGACUGAGAUAACAUUUACCAAUUGUUCCUAGAUGAAGUUCGUAAAAGCUACAGUUUAAGAGAUGUUAAUGUAGACGUACUCUCUAAAGGUUUCAAGAUAAAACCAAGCCAUUUUUCGGAUUUUGUUAAACAGUUUAUUGGAUCUACUGAUUUUGUUCUAGACAUUAAGCUGCCAAGUAUUGACGUUUGUGUAUCCAAUACGGACUCUGCAUUUGAAAGUGAAUCUAUAGAUUCGCCAUCAGCAGAACAUUUCGCAGCUGCUCAUCAAGCAAUAUCCUGCAUAUUUCCUUAGGAAAUUAGCGCCAUCCCUGAUAUUAACCAAUUCUUAAAUGUUAAAACAUUGGAAAAUAAGGACCGCAUUAAAAGGCUUUAAUGGAAUUUAUUCUAAAUAAAACCCCAAACAGACAGUAUGUAUGUAUGUUUCUGUAUCUAAAGAAAAUAAGUUA